GUUAAAGCCGAGUUUGUUAUUACGUAUAUUUACCUAGUCAGAUAUUUGACAACUGUAAUGUUAGUAACUAAAUCAAGUUAUCAACUUACGAAAGUUGUAGGUCUUUCAGAAGUCUUUUAAGAAAUUGUUAAAUUUUUACAAGUUUAUCACUAUCGUAACCGCCAUUUAAUCAUUUUUAUGAAGCAAGCUUUGCUGGAACCUUUUGAAUAGUUUUUUUGUAAUGAAUACUCAAAUGAAAUUUGUCUCAAGUUUUUAAAGUGGCUAUUGAAAUUUUAAUUGUUUUAAUUUAAAAUUUAAUUUUUUUUGAUAACUCACAUUACUCUUUUAACUAAUUUUUGUUGAAAUUGUAUUGGCGUAAUAUAUGCUGAUGUAAAAAAUUAUCAUAUGGGUUGAUUGUCGGUUCGAUUCUAAUAAGUAUGCUCUCUCGAACUCUCUCCUCUGUUUUCUGAACUACUGGGCUCGAUCCCCCAUUUCUAACCAAUUUGGAAGAAAUAAAACCAGCUAGAUCUAGCGGUACAAUAGAGUCAUUCUCUUCCAGUUCUUUGCAUUGAAAACAGAAGCAAAUUCAUAAUUUGGUUGAGUGAUAAUUCUUUUCUAAAUCCCAAGCAACUGUAAUGAAAAAGCAUUUCCUCAUCUCUGUUAGUGUGAGUUCUGCUAGUUACGCCCUCCAGGUGUUUGAAGAAAGUCCCCAAAAUGAUUUCCACGUCCUCAUCUCCAAUCAAGAAUGUUUCUGCAUUGGGAUAUUC